CUGUGACAGAUCAUACUGUGACAUUUUAGCUCCUCCUUGUCGCUCGAGAACGAACUUUGCACCAGGAAAUGUUAGACGAAGUCACAUUAGAUUCACUCGAGCACUCAUUCAGAUUCUUUAGUGUUUAGUAAAUGAUAAUGGAUGUUCAGAAGUAUUUAUUGCGCAUCGGCUGCUCUGUGUCGUGUCCCUGCUCUCCGACACUGGACACUUUGUGUUCUCUUCAUCUCUGCCACUUGCUCUCGGUUCCUUUCGAGAACCUGAGCAUCCACACUGGGGAGUGCGUUCACCUCGAGCUCCCGCUGCUCUACGACAAAGUCGUGUUAAAAAGACGAGGAGGAUUUUGCUACGAAAACAACGGGCUUUUCUCCUGGCUCUUGUCUCAGCUCGGGUUUGACGUUGAGAUUCUGGCUGCUCAGGUGAAAAAUCAGUUCACCGGUUUUUACGGACCUCCGUUUGACCACUUGAUCAUAAUGGUGACUAUUGACGGAGAAAGGUGGCUUUGUGAUGUGGGCUUCGGGGCCGGUUUCCAGCGCCCUCUUUCCCUCGACACGGACAGUGCUCAAACUCAGAGUCAUGGCGUGUACCGGGUUCGAGCAAACGGAGAUCUCCUUUUUAUGGAAACACGGUCAGAGAGUGAUAACGGUGCAUCCUGGGUGGAGCUGUACAAGUUCACCCUUCAACCAUGUCAGAGAGAGGACUUUACAGCCAUGUGUGAGUACCAUCAGACCUCCAGCAGCUCUGUCUUCUUCUGCAAGUCCCUCUGCACCCUCCUAAUACCAGAUGGAAGGAUUACUCUGAUGGGCCGAAAUCUGAUUAUCACCCACCUGACCAGUGAUGAUGGACCACCAGUGAAGACCACCAAAACAGAUCUUACUGAUGAAGAAAUCAUCCAGAUACUGAGGGAGAAGUUUGGAAUAGUGCUGAUGUCUUCACUGAUCGCUAAAGAUACUGAGAUUGUGCCCCCAUCAGUGAACUAUUAAAGUGACACACUGUUAUAUGGCUAAAAGUAUGUGGAAAAGACACAGUGCUGCUUAUUUGUACUAUACUUCCUCUUCUUCUUCUUUUUCUUCUUCUUCUACUUUCGGCUUUUCCCGUCAGGGGUUACCACAUCGAAUCGUCUGUUUCCACCUAACUCCAUCCUCGCCAUCCUCUGCUCUAGCACCAAUUUACUCCCUGGUCUGUUUGAACACAUCCACGUUCUCUUCAUAUAUAUUAUUGUGGAACUCAAAACUUCACUACAUCAACGCAGAUUUUUGUUGUUAAAUAACAAACAUUUUUACACACAUUUAGUCUUAGGACUGAAAUCAUAACGCAUUACAAAAUAUCUGUGAACAUUAAAUGUCGCAGUAUUCUCAUGUUGUGAAACUAAAAGUGCUGAUACUGGAGACUCCUUACAACAAGACUGCAAAAUUAACAUCUCUUCACAGAAAACCUCAUCAUAUCACUGACUUUUAUACUCUUUUUUUAAUCAGUCUUCACCGAGGGAGCCAAUAAUUAUGGAGCUGAUUACAGGCAUAUUGUCAUUGUUUAUUAUUCGUGUUAAAGCAAGUGCUUAUAGCUGGAUAAACAAGCACAAUUAUACAUGAAUAUGUAAAUUUAGUAUAAAACUUCUGCUUAUUAUUAUUAUUAUUAUUAUUAUUAUUAUUAUUAUUAUUAUUAUUAUUAUUAUAAGAGUUUCUGAAAUUGCACAUUUUAUAUUGCCACAAAAACAAAAUAAAAAACUUCUUGUUGUCUAAAUAAAAACAUCAUCAAAAGGUCAAGAUAAUGUAGUAUUUUGUUGUAGUUUAUUAAGCAACUAUUUAGUAAAAAAAAUAAAAAAUUACAAAGAAAUUGAUUAUAAGACAAAAAGUGCAUUUAUUUAUAAAACGCGUUUCCGGAAAUUUGUCUCCUUCCGGUUUCCGUAAUCAUGUGGGAAUGUUGAAUGUGGUAAUGUUGACUAGCCGAAGAUUAGUGAAGGCGGUGUUGCCCCUGGCGUUGCCCGGGUCGCUGGUCCUCGUGUCAGGACGGGUUUUUGCUGCUGAUGAGAAUGAAGAAAGCGAGUCGUCUCUGCUCACAGAUGAGCUCUCUCUGUACAGCACCCCACACACUCGAGUGCCAUGCGGGAAGCCGGAAGUCGGCUCCA